AUUGUAGAGAAUCCAAGCCGAGUUUAAGAGUGCUGUGGAAAUACACUGCUGCUACUGCUGUUUCUAUUACUGUUUGAUGCUGGGACUCUUAUGCUCCAACCACGUUUUCACCCAGCUGAGUCGCCUUCGUAUCACGCCUUUCCAGUUUUGAUAGACUAGAAAAAUGACAAGACUCCAAGUCCUUGAAGAGGAGGAAAAGUGUGAAGAAAACAAAAAAGGGAGAUUUAUGUCUGCUUCACCAUUUUGCCCAAGACUUGACCUGUCAUACACUGAAGCUCAGAGAGGAAGAAAGGACCGUGUGAGAGAAGAAGGGAACAGCCUUUCAUCCAUAGGAGAAGUUCGUCUAUGACAAAGCCACUAGCUCCAUGUGGCCGCUGAGCACUCAAAAUGUGGCCAGUCUGAAUUGAGAUAUGUUGUUAGUAUAAAGUCCACAUCGGCUUUUUGAGCACUUUGUAUGAGAAAAAAGAAUACCAAAUAUCUCCUUAAUAAUUGUUACAUUGAUUAUAUGUUGAACUGAUAACAUUAUGGAUAUAUUGGAUUAAAUAAAAUAAAUUAUUAAAAUCAAAUAAAAAAUAAAAUCAAUUUCACCUGUUUCUUUUUACCUUUUUAAUAUGGGUCCUAGGAAAUUUAAAAUGGCACACAUGGCUCACAUUUGCACAUCUACCUUUAGUGGACAAAGUUGAGGCAGGAGUUAGGUUUUUGCAAGAACUCAAAAGGAAGGCAGAACUAA
rnacentral:lncRNA from 1 species